CGUUUGGCAUUGCCAAACCUAAUAUCAAAGCUUAUAUAUAUAUAUAUAUAUAUAUAUAUAUAUAUAUAUAUAUAUAUAUAUAUAUAUAUAUAUAUAUAUAUAUAAGCUUUGAUAUUUGGUAUGGCAAUGCCAAACG